rnacentral:antisense_RNA from 1 species
CUUCACCGAACCCAGCAGCAGCGGCCGGUCCUCCGGCCGGUCCUGGCCGUAGGUGGCCAGCAACGCCUGAGCCUC